ACCCUGAUGGGCUGAGUGAGGAGAACCAAAUGCUGUUGGAUGUCCUGGAGAUGUCUGACCAUAGAAUGGAGGCACUUGAUAAUGCAGAGAUGCUGCUACUGAACACAAUGGAGGCU